rnacentral:rRNA from 1 species
UACAGAGGUGGCAAGCGUUGUUCGGAAUUACUGGGCGUAAAGGGCGCGUAGGUGGCCAUCUAAGUCAGACGUGAAAUCCCCCGGCUUAACCUGGGAACUGCGUCUGAUACUGGACGGCUUGAGUAUGGGAGAGGAAUGUAGAAUUCCAGGUGUAGCGGUGAAAUGCGUAGAUAUCUGGAGGAAUACCGGUGGCGAAGGCGGCAUUCUGGACCAUUACUGACACUGAAUCGCGAAAGCUAGGGGAGCAAACGGG